rnacentral:rRNA from 1 species
UACAGAGGUCUCAAGCGUUGUUCGGAUUCAUUGGGCGUAAAGGGUGCGUAGGUGGCGAGGUUAGUCAGGUGUGAAAUCUCGGGGCUCAACCCCGAAACUGCACUUGAUACUGCCUUGCUAGAGUACUGGAGAGGAGACUGGAAUUUACGGUGUAGCGGUGAAAUGCGUAGAUAUCGUAAGGAAGACCAGUGGCGAAGGCGGGUCUCUGGACAGUUCCUGACGCUGAGGCACGAAGGUCAGGGGAGCAAACGGG